rnacentral:rRNA from 1 species
UGCAACGCGAAGAACCUUACCUGGUCUUGACAUAGUAAGAACUUUCCAGAGAUGGAUUGGUGCCUUCGGGAACUUACAUACAGGUGCAGCAUGGCUGUGGUCAGCUCGUGUCGUGAGAUGUUGGGUUAAGUCCCGCAACGAGCGCAACCCUUUUCCUUAUUUGCCAGCACUUCGGGUGGGAACUUUAAGGAUACUGCCAGUGACAAACUGGAGGAAGGCGGGGACGACGUCAAGUCAUCAUGGCCCUUACGACCAGGGCUACACACGUGCUACAAUGGUCGGUACAAAGGGUUGCUACCUAGCGAUAGGAUGCUAAUCUCAAAAAGCCGAUCGUAGUCCGGAUUGGAGUCUGCAACUCGACUCCAUGAAGUCGGAAUCGCUAGUAAUCGCGGAUCAGAAUGCCGCGGUGAAUACGUUCCCGGGCCUUGUACACACCGCCCGUCACACCAUGGGAGUUUGUUGCACCA